UACGAAGGGGGCUAGCGUUGUUCGGAAUCACUGGGCGUCAAGGGCGCGUAGGCGGCGCGACAAGUCAGGCGUGAAAGCCCCGGGCUCAACCCGGGAAUUGCGCUUGAUACUGUCGUGCUUGAGGCCGGGAGAGGAUGGCGGAAUUCCCAGUGUAGAGGGGAAAUGAGUAGAUAUCGGGAGGAACACCUGUGGCGAAAGCGGCGCACUGGACCAUAACUGACGCUGAGGCGCGAAAGCUAGGGGAGCAAACAGG
rnacentral:rRNA from 1 species